rnacentral:rRNA from 1 species
GAUGAACGCUGGCGGCGUGCCUAAUACAUGCCAGUCGAGCGAACGGACGAGAAGCUUGCUUCUCUGAUGUUAGCGGCGGACGGGUGAGUAACACGUGGAUAACCUACCUAUAAGACUGGGAUAACUUCGGGAAACCGGAGCUAAUACCGGAUAAUAUUUUGAACCGCAUGGUUCAAAAGUGAAAGACGGUCUUGCUGUCACUUAUAGAUGGAUCCGCGCUACAUUAGCUAGUUGGUAAGGUAACGGCUUACCAAGGCAACGAUGCAUAGCCGACCUGAGAGGGUGAUCGCCCACCCUGGAACUGAGACACGGUCCAGACUCCUACGGGAGGCAGCAGUAGGGAAUCUUCCGCAAUGGGGGAAAGCCUGACGGAGCAACGCCGCGUGAGUGAUGAAGGUCUUCGGAUCGUAAAACUCUGUUAUUAGGGAAGAACAUAUGUGUAAGUAACUGUGCACAUCUUGACGGUACCUAAUCAGAAAGCCACGGCUAACUACGUG